rnacentral:misc_RNA from 1 species
AGUUCAAAUUAAUCGGAUUUUAACGUAAAUACCUGACACCAUGUUCGUUAUGACAAGGAAGGCCACUGCCAAGGACAUGGAGGUGAAACUGAAGUUAGCCCUGGAAAAGCUCAAAACAUCCGAAGAGCUCUGUCAACAACUGUUAAGGGAACGUGAUGACAGCGAGGAAGAAAUUCAGAAAAUAAUUAAUAAACGCAGAUGGCAGCUCUGAAGUGGAACAAAAGUGCUUUAUUUUAUUUUGUAUUUUUCUGU